rnacentral:rRNA from 1 species
GAACGCGAAAGUCCCGCAAGGGAUCAGUAGAGUGGCAAACGGGUGAGUAACACGUGGGUGACCUGCCUUCGAGUGGGGGAUAACGUCCCGAAAGGGACGCUAAUACCGCAUGACAUCCUGCCUUUGAAGAGGUGGAGCUUAAAGCUGGGGAUCGCAAGACCUAGCGCUUGAAGAGGGGCCCGCGUCUGAUUAGCUAGUUGGUGAGGUAACGGCUCACCAAGGCAACGAUCAGUAUCCGGCCUGAGAGGGCGGACGGACACACUGGGACUGAGACACGGCCCAGACUCCUACGGGAGGCAGCAGUGGGGAAUUGUUCGCAAUGGGCGCAAGCCUGACGACGCAACGCCGCGUGGAGGAUGAAGAUCUUCGGGUCGUAAACUCCUUUCGAUCGAGACGAACGGCCUCUGGGCUAAUCACCAGGGGAAUGACGGUACCGAGAGAAGAAGCCCCGGCUAACUCCGUGCCAGCAGCCGCGGUAAUACGGGGGGGGCAAGCGUUGUUCGGAAUUACUGGGCGUAAAGGGCUCGUAGGCGGCCAACUAAGUCAUACGUGAAAUCCCUCGGCUUAACCGGGGAACUGCGUCUGAUACUGGAUGGCUUGAGAUUGGGAGAGGGAUGCGGAAUUCCAGGUGUAGCGGUGAAAUGCGUAGAUAUCUGGAGGAACACCGGUGGCGAAGGCGGCAUCCUGGACCAACACUGACGCUGAGGAGCGAAAGCCAGGGGAGCAAACGGGAUUAGAUACCCCGGUAGUCCUGGCCCUAAA